rnacentral:lncRNA from 1 species
UCUGAAACACAAGCUCUGAAGUACUUAACUCUGAUAGAGAAUUUUAAAUAUCUUAGAGGCUCUGAACUAUUUAAGUGGGAAACGUUUAGUAUUCACUGCUGAACAGUUUUCCAUUAAAAUAGCAGUUACCGAGUAAAUUUCUGCACGUGGUCUACGUGUGUCAGGUAGUGGGUGGUUAAUGAUGAUUUUUGGUAUUCAACUUUCUGUCAAUUAGCGUAACUUCCCAAAUUUGCC